rnacentral:lncRNA from 1 species
CUUCAGCCUGCAGAGGGAAGAGAGAAGGGGCCCCCAAAAUAGAGCUUUAAAACCCUCCCUUGUCUUUUGUGACAGUACAAUUUACUGUUUCGUUUUGGUCUCUUAUCAGGAAGCCUUCUGAAUCAGUGCUCUAUUUUGAGCACAAAGUCAAGAUUUUUGUGGCCGCAGCCAAAGAUGUUCACGUGGAGAGCUGCUGAGCUGGCUUGUUGAUUCAGGCCCCGACGAUUCCUCAGGUCUUUCUGGGUAAGUGGGAAGGGGUUCAUCCAUAAAAGCUUUUUCUUGGCCUUUCUAUGCCUCUCCCACCCCGUCCACUUAGCAUUCCACUAGAGAGGACACCAAAUUGAAUUCACGCCAAGAAAAUGGACACGCUCCACAUACGUUGAGAGCUUUCCUGUAUUAAUAGCUUGCCCAGAGUCGACUGUCUCCCUGGGGGAUUUAAGUUUCUUCCCUUGUGAGUGUCUAUUUUUUCCUCUUUGUUCUUCCUCUCCCCUGGCCUUCUUACAGAAAUAACAGGGUCAUUGACAUGUAACGCAGUUAUAAAACCUGUGACGAGGCGCCCGUCUAGUGACAGCAGGGCCGAGCCAGCCGAUACCUCCGCGACCGAGUCCCCGUAACGUGAGUACCUCGCGCCAUCCCGUGUAACCCCCAGGACAAAUCUGCAAGAUAAGCUGUGCCAUCCUGAGUUUUCACAUGAGAAAAUGGAAGCUCAGAGAAGAUGAAUAUCCUUUGCCCAAAGAUCCAUGGUGAGUACAAGAGGUGAGCUUUAAACUCAGUCGUCUGUCUAGAGGGCUCUAGUAUUCCGCUCUGUGUACUUUGACGGUAAGUAGAGAGACACCCAGACCUCCUUCUUCUUGGCCCCAAGUUCUUUUACCAGACUGGGUUUGGUGCCCCGAUUGUAUAAGAACGUAUUGCCUUUAGCAUCUCUUUCCCCUUGUGGCUGCUACCUCAGCAACCCCAUCGAGCAGGAAAGCAAACAUGUUCAAGAUUUCACUCAGCUUGGCCGUUCGAUCUCUCCGCCAUGUGUGGGCUGAACCUCUUUGGGACCAACGCUGGGCAGGGUCGCCAUGUCCCCGCUGAGACGGCCAGGUGGCUACAGUACUCGGUAGCCCUGCGUCCUGCCCUCUCCUACAGUUUCCAAUCUCAUUUGGCUCCUUGUGAAUUAUGUGACAUCUGAGCCUGUGAGACCAGGUGUUCCCGCCCCCUCAGGGGACCUGAAAGGCAGCCCUGGGGCAUGAGCCCUUCGUGGGGGGACCGUUAGACCAUUUCCGACAAGCACCUAACAAGACAUCUCCUGCAGCCGAGUCAGCCCUCCCUACUCCCGGGCAGUCACCGAAGCCAUGUGCCCUGGUGGGUUCUUAUAGAAGCAUCCACACCAGUCCAUCUGAGGACCCUAUGGGCCUGACCCCCACAUAGGAUUGAUGCAAAGUGGCAGGGAGUUGAAGACCCCAGGCAUAACCUUGAACUCAUGAACCCACAGAAGUUGGUAAAUUAAGGUCCUGGACACUUUGACCCUCGGGUGGGACAAGGCUAAGGUGUGUUGUCCACUUUCCACCCAUCUCAAGACCAACGGGGUUGAUCCAGCACUGUCCAUGGCAAUGACUUCAGUAAAACACCCCACGUUGGCUUGCUUCUCUUCUGUCUUACUUGCGCUCCUUAUCAGGGCUUGCUGGGAACAGCCCCUAGUACAUUCCUUGGACUCAGACCCUAGUCUCAGGGUGGACUUGGGAGGAACUGACCUUGGACACCCCCCAAGCCCCCUUCCCUGUAUCCCAAGUGCAGCCAGCAUACUGCUGGGCUCUCUCAGGGAAUGCCGUUGACAGAGUUGAGGGCAGUCGUCCCUGGGCCCCCGCUUAGACUUUUCCAUGCCAGAAACCUAUUGUUCCAGCCAGACGGCAUCCAUCAGGAGCUCCUGGAGGACACAGGAGGUAGGGAUCAGGGUGGGACACCAGAAAUGUCAGUGAAUUUCUAUUGCAAUGUGUCCACACUGAAAGAGGUUCCAACAGAAGGUCUCCUGUUCCAACUCUAAGCCAGAUGAGGCUCUUCAACAAAGAGGGUCCUCUAUCCACCCAGAGGGCAUCUGGAUUAUUGCAGAUUGACAAUGUUUCAGAUGAGAAAGAACAGUAAGAUGUUUCUUUUUCCUCCUUGAACUCCCUUCCUUCUCUAUCCCAGGUCGUAUGUUCCAUUAAGUCAUCUGGAUGAUUUCUGGGGAGGCACGGGACUCCAACGUCAUGCACCCCACUUCUGCUGGCCAACACUUGGGGACCGCCGGGUCCUGACCUCAGCACACUGGAUGGUGGAGUGGGUGACUGUGUGCGUCCGUUUCCUCCAGCGAACACGGCAUCCGGGAGCGAGAGCGUUCACUUUGUCAAAGGUUCAGAAAUAACAGAAGUAAAACCAGUGAAUCACCGUGGUAGCAAUCAGUAAAAGUUUAUCAUGCACACACCAAAAAGGAAGUUUGCAAACCGGGAGCACUCAAACCGGAAGGUAGCGUGAGGCUCGGGGGUGGAUUCUUAUAAAGCAGCUCAUAUGGUGAGAAGGCAGUGGCUGUGUGUUCUUCCAGGGUUUGGUCCUAACGCUAGAAUUUUCUUAAGUCAUAGGGAAUUGGUCAGUGGUUACCUCAUACCAACCUUGGGAAACAGUUCAAGUUUUGCUUGUGACUUCCAGAGGCGCAAGCAAAGGACUGACCCAGGUCCAGUCAGUCUUGCAAAAUAAUCUAAAUUAAGCUUUGUUUGUAUGACCAAAGUGGUUUCCUCUGCUCAGGGCAUUUUCACGGCUGUGUUUUUU